AAUUAAUAGUGGUUAUGCUUGGGUUGUGGAUAUUUGUCUUUAACAUUUGCAUUUAUGUUUUUCUAAGUUUUCUUAGAAACGUUAUAAUUUGAGAGAAAAUGCAUGUUAAUUUCCAGUUAUCAAGGGAGGGGGAAAAUGUAGGGAGGAAAGUAGGAUAUGGCAGGAAAAGAUUUAGUUUUAACAGAAAUGAGCAGAUCUCUUAAAAUCAAGGUGGCUUGAGAAGAGGCUUGGUAGAGCAAACUCUGGUUCAGUGGAAUUAUCCAAAUGUACGUACAGUUUCAUGCCCUUUUCACUUUCCCAUUUAAAAAAAAAAAAGGUCCCAACACCAUCAUACUCAGGUACACAAGAUUAAAUUAUUUAAGCCUAGAAUGGCAUUUAGGGAAGUCUGGAGUUGUGGUUCAGAGGACAGAGCAUUCCUUGGAGUGUGGCCCAUACUAAGAGCCCUAUACUCAGUUGAGAUGGAUUUAUGAAGUGGGCACCAGAAAGCCCAGAAAUUUGUCCUGUCAUUUACACUUCUUGAAAAUUGAAGCCUCACUUAGAAAAUUGAAAAGGACCUUCUGCCCCACACAAACUAUAGAAACCUGAAAGUGGUCAAGAGACUGUUCUUGAAUGUGAUUCCUAUUUCUCAGUACACUCUUUAUUGAGGUAUAUUUAAUCUAGUUUUACAGAGCUUGACUGAAGUGGGUGCAUGUGAUGGAUGUUGACCAGAACUUGGAUUAGAGAAGACUGGGGAUCAAAGCCCUGGACAAGCUGCAGUGGAUGCCUUGGCUUGAGGAUCACCAGCGCAGAAUUUGACUCCUGUUCGUCUUUGAAUUUGUAGCUGGCAUAAUCCAGUGGGGCAGGAAGCAACUUGGGGAUUCAGACAUUUGCUUAUUUCUCCUUCUUGGGUGAAUUCCUAAGCGUGGCAUCGCCAGGUUGUAUGGUAGAUCAACUUUAAAAUGCAACUAAAAUGAUCCAUUCAACUGAGAAGAACCCCACACCCCUUCACCCCCACCCAGUACCCAGCAAGCUAGUUCCCUGAGCCUCCAGCCUGGAUGGAGCAAGUCUACCCUCCUGCUUCUCUGCUUCGUCUCCUUACUGCAGUUGCUGUGGGGCUCUCAUGGCUGCGAACACACGUGACCCAGGAGGAAACGAGUCCUUAAUCUACGUUCCACACAGGGCAGCUCCACUCAGGAAUCAUUAAUCCCGUGCUCACAAGGUCUCUUCUUGAGCAGUGGAGGAGGAGGAGGAGGAGGAAGAUGCCUUCCAGUCCCCCAGGGCCAUCUUGCAGAGGACAGUGGCUACUGCUGGACCAGGUCCUUCCCUGAGGGCACACUGCAGAGCCAAGAAGCC